UGCACGGUGGUGCAGUUGGUUGCAGUGCUACCUUGCAGGAAGGUCCUGGGUUCGACUCCCAGCCGGGGAU